CCUACGGGCGACAGCAGUGAGGAAUAUUGGUCAAUGGACGAGAGUCUGAACCAGCCAAGUAGCGUGCAGGAUGACUGCCCUCUGGGUUGUAAACUUCUUUUAUAAAGGAAUAAAACGAGGCACGUGUGCCUUUUUGCAUGUACUUUAUGAAUAAGAAUCGGCUAACACCGUGACAGCAGCCGCGGUAAUACGGAGGAUCCGAGCGUUAUCCGGAUUUAUUGGGUUUAACGGGAGCGUAGAGGGGUUGUUAAGUCAGUUGUGAAAGUUUGCGGCUCAACCGUAAAAUUGCAAUUGAUACUGGCAGUCUUGAGUACAGAUGAGGUAAGCGGAAUUCGUGGUGUAGCGGUGAAAUGCUUAGAUAUCACGAAGAACCCCGAUUGCGAAGGCAGGUUACUAAACUGCGACUGACAUUGAUGCUCGAAAGCGUGGGUAGCAAACAGGAUUAGAUACCCUAGUAGUC
rnacentral:rRNA from 1 species